rnacentral:rRNA from 1 species
GACGAACGCUGGCGGCGUGCCUAACACAUGCAAGUCGAACGGAGUAUUCAGCAAUGGAUACUUAGUGGCGAACGGGUGAGUAACGCGUAGAUAACCUGCCUUUUAGAUGGGGACAACACCGCGAAAGUGGUGCUAAUACCGAAUGUGCUAACUUUAUUGCAUAAUGAAGUUAAGAAAGAUGGCCUCUGUAUAUGCUAUCGCUAAAAGAUGGGUCUGCGUCUGAUUAGCUAGUUGGUGAGGUAACGGCUCACCAAGGCGACGAUCAGUAGCCGGUCUGAGAGGAUGAACGGCCACACUGGGACUGAGACACGGCCCAGACUCCUACGGGAGGCAGCAGUGGGGAAUCUUCCGCAAUGGACGAAAGUCUGACGGAGCAACGCCGCGUGAGUGAAGAAGGUCUUCGGAUUGUAAAACUCUGUCUUUUGGGACGAACGUGCGAAAUGUAAAUAAUGUUUUGUAAUGACGGUACCGAAGGAGGAAGCCACGGCUAACUACGUGCCAGCAGCCGCGGUAAUACGUAGGUGGCAAGCGUUGUCCGGAAUUAUUGGGCGUAAAGCGCGCGCAGGUGGGAUAAUAAGUCUAAUGUCUAAGUGCGGGGCUCAACCCCGUAUAGGCGAGAGAAACUGUUAUUCUUGAGUGCAGGAGAGGAAAGUGGAAUUCCCAGUGUAGCGGUGAAAUGCGUAGAUAUUGGGAGGAACACCAGUGGCGAAGGCGACUUUCUGGACUGUGUCUGACACUGAGGCGCGAAAGCCAGGGGAGUGAACGGGAUUAGAUACCCCGGUAAUCCUGGCCGUAAACGAUGGG